rnacentral:rRNA from 1 species
AAUCUUCCGCAAUGGACGAAAGUCUGACGGAGCAACGCCGCGUGAGUGAUGAAGGUCNNNGGAUCNUNAAACUCUGUUGUUAGNGANNAACAAGUAUCGUUCGAAUAGGGCGGUACCUUGACGGUACCUAACCAGAAAGCAUCGGCUAAAUACGUGCCCGCAGCGGCGGUAAUACGUAGGUGGCAAGCGUUAUCCGGAAUUAUUGGGCGUAAAACACGCGCAGGCGGUUUCUUAAGUCUGAUGUGAAAGCCCACGGCUCAACCGUGGAGGGUCAUUGGAAACUGGGAAGCUUGAGUGCAGAAGAGGAGAGUGGAAUUCCAUGUGUAGCGGUGAAAUGCGUAGAGAUAUGGAGGAACACCAGUGGCGAAGGCGACUCUCUGGUCUGCAACUGACGCUGAGGCGCGAAAGCGUGGGGAGCGAACA